AUUGAACGCUGGCGGCAGGCCUAACACAUGCAAGUCGAGCGGAUGAAGGGAGCUUGCUCCUGGAUUCAGCGGCGGACGGGUGAGUAAUGCCUAGGGAUCUGCCUGGUAGUGGGGGAUAACGUCCGGAAACGGGCGCUGAUCCCGCAUACGACCUGAGGGAGCAAGUGGGGGAGCUUCGGACCUCACGCUAUCAGAUUAGCCUAGGUCGGAUUAGCUAGUUGGUGGGGUAAAGGCCUACCAAGGCGACGAUCGGUAACUGGUCUGAGAGGAUGAUCAGGCACAUGGGAAGUGAGACAGGGCCCAGACUCCUACGGGAGGCCGCAGUGGGGAAUAUUGGACAAUGGGCGAAAGCCUGAUCCAGCGAUGCCGCGUGUGUGAAGACGGUGCUCGGAUGGGAAAGCACUUUAAGUUGGGAGGAAGGGCAGUAAUUUAAUACCUUGCUGUUUUGACGGUACCAACAGAAUAAGCACCGGCUAACUUCGUG
rnacentral:rRNA from 1 species